AGGAUUAUUAUUAUUUUAUUUACAUGUAAAUUGAAACAAUAAAUAUUGUACUGUGUCAUAAUUUAAAACUCAUUAUGUUGCAGUCUUUUCCAGUUGAUAAAAUUGCAAUUCAAAACUCAAUGUUAAUUGCAAAAACUUUUAGAUUUGCACUGUAUGGAUGGCACAGGAAGAGAAUGAGAGUACAAGAACAUGAAACAUCUUAUUAUGAAUGUAUAUGUAUGUGAUCCUCAAAAAAUUAUUAGAAAGAGAGCUUUAAAAUCCCAAGGAUCCUGCAAAAUGUUUAUUUGGUGUACUAGCAGAAUAAUAGUAUCUAAAAAUAUUGAAACCGAUUGUUGUGCAGUAACAUAUUUUAAAACACAUUACGGGCAUGAUGAUGAUAUAGAGCACUUACAUAAAUACCAAAAUCAGAUAAAUAUCUCUUCAAAGUUUAUUUUGAGACUUUCUUCAAAAAUUAAACUUCAGACUGUUCAGGAUAGCAUAAUAGCAUAGGAGGCGAAUUAAAAAGAAUUAAUUUACUUACAAGAAAAGAUAUCACAAACAUUAAACUCUCUUAUGGCAUUGACUUGAAAGAUGGAUAUAUGUACAAUGAUGAUGCAACCAGUGUUUAUUUUUGGGUUGAAUGCUUACAGACUCAUGUCCAAUAUUAUUUUACAAACAACAGGGCAUACUAAUGGAUAUUCAUUCUGAAUUUAAUAUUUAUGAUUUUUGUCUUAUUUUCCUUAAUGCUGUGCCAAAAGGAAAUGUUAAUUAAGUUUGGUAAAUCCUUUAUCACAAUCGAUGGAACUCAUGGGCUCAAAUCCUAUGACUUUGAACUUAUGACAGUAUUAGUAAAAGAUGAAUUUGGGAAUGGAUUUUGUACUGCUUUCUUAUUUUCAAAUAGAAAAGAUACCUACUUUUAUUUACCAAUUUUUUUAAAUACAUGUCUGUGUUGGUAUUAUAUGUAUAGUCAAAUGUUUUCAUAUCAGGCAUAAGUGACACCUUUUACAAUGCCUUGUCAAAUGUAAUGGGUAUUGCUCCUAAUAGACUGUUAAGUGCCUGGCACAUAGAUAGGGCAUGGCAAGUAAAUCUUAAUAAAAUAUCUGAUUCUGAAAAAAAUCAUAUGUAUACAAGAUCUAUUAAUGAUGGUUUAGAGUUUAGAGAGUAUUAAUAGCUUUUUGGGUAGACUUCUAAGUGAUGCAGAUACAUACAAUUUUAGUAAGUAUUUCCAGUAGAACUACUGCAAUAGCAUCCAACAAUGGGCCUAUUGUUAUAGGAAGGGGUUGUGGAAUUAAUACCAAUAUGACCAUUCAAAAUUUUCAUAAAAUUUUGGAUAAAAGAGUAUCCGUUAGUUGUUAUCAGUUAAGCUUAAAACUUGGCACUCAUGGAGAGCUAUACCAUAAUAUAUAAUAGGUAUAUCUCAUAUUAUUACAUCUCAUAUUGCUCACUCAUUACAAUAGUGUGCAAUAUGAGAUAUAACAUAUUAUAGUAUAACUCUCUGUGCAUGACCAGAUUAACACAUUUGGUGCCCAUCUUGAACAAGCUCUACUUGGCUGGUACCACAUACUUAAAUCAUUUAUUUAGUUACACAGUACUACUCACAUAAGUUAUGCAUUGUCAGUAGCUUCGGUAAAACCUUUGUGAUGCUACCCAUAUGUCAUGGCCACUGAAUGUGUUAAAGCUUGUUAAUGUAGGAGAGUUAUACUAAAAUACAGGGUGUAACAAAAAUACAGGUCAUAAAUUUAAUCACAUAUUCUGGAACCAAAAAUAGUUCGAUUGAACCUAACUUACCUUAGUACAAAUGUGCACAUAAAAAAAGUUACAGCCCUUUGAAGUUACAAAAUUAAAAUCGAUUUUUUCCAAUAUAUCAAAAACUAUUAGAGAUCUUUUAUUGAAAAUAGACAUGUGGCAUUCUUAUGGUAGUAGUAUCUUAAGAAAAAAUUAUAGUGAAAUUUGGACACCCCAUAAAAAUUUUAUGGGGGUUUUGUUCCUUUAAACCCCCCAAACUUUUGUGUACGUUCCAAUUUAAUUAUUAUUGUAGUACCAUUAGUUAAACACAAUAUUUUAAACACUUUUUUGCCUCUUAGUACUUUUUCGAAAAGUCAGUUUUUAUCGAGAUAUUUUGAAUAUUUGUCAAAUGCACCACAUAUUUGUAUAUGGCUAAGUACGAUUAUGAAGACUUUGUAAUAAUAUGAAAAUUUAUUUAUGAUUUACAUUUUUAGGUAUAUUUUGAACGAUAUUAAAAAGAAGUAAUAUCUCGAUAAAAAGUGCCUUCUCGAAAAAAUACAAAGAGGCAAAAAAGUUUUAAAAACACUGUGUUUAACUAAUGGUACCGCAGUAAAAGUAUAAUUGGAACAUACACAAACAUUUGGGGGGUUUAAAGGAACAAAACCCCAAUAAAAUUUGUAUGUAAACAUAUUAAAAAAGAAGCCGUAACUCGAUAAAAACUGCCUUAUCGAAAAAAUACUAAGAGUCAAAAAAGUUUUAGAAAUAUUGAAUUUAACUAAUGGUACCACAAUAAUAAUUUAAUUGGAACAUACACAAAUGUUUGGGGGGGUUUAAAAGAACAAAACCCCCAUAAAAUUUUUAUGGGAUGCACAAAUUUCACUAUAAUUCUUAUUUAAGAUGUUCCUGCCAUAAGAAUGCCACGUGUCCAUUUUCAAUAAAUAAUCUCUAAUAGUUUUUGAUAUAUUCGAAAAAAUCGAUUUUCAUUUUGUAACUUCAAAGGGCUGUAACUUUUUUUAUGUGCAUAUUUGUACUAAGGUAAAUUAGGUUCAUUCGAACUAUUUUUGGUCUCAGAAUAUGUGAUUUAAUUUAUGACCUGUAUUUUCGUUACACCUUGUAUAUAUCUUAUAUUACUUUAAAUAGAAAAAAUAUCUUAUUCAAAUUGUAUCCAUGUAAGUUUUGAUUUAAUGAAAUAAACCUUUUAAUCAAAAAAAUGUUGUUUACUUGUGUACACCCAGCAAUAUCCUGAUC